rnacentral:lncRNA from 1 species
CGGAGAGCCUGACACCAGAAGAUCUGGGAUGGCUUUGCAAACUCAAACCACCCUACAAAUCGUCCUUUUCUUACAGAUUAAAGCCGAUCACCCUCUUCCUCGCUGAUGCUCCUGAGCAAGUGCACACUUUAGCGAGUGUUCGGCUAACGACUCCACCCGGUCACCGCGCCCCUCCAGCAGCCCGGCACCCUCUGCGGCUGAGGAGACCCAGGCUCACCACCCUGGCUCUAAGAUGAGGCAGAGGAGACAUGUCCUGAGGACAGGAAUCCCCCAGAUUGUCAGAGCUCCUCUUGUGGCUCAGUUAUCCAAAAACAGCAUCUUUCUAACAUGGCAGCCCCUCAGGAUUGAGUGUGAACCCCAGGACUCACUGGUGGCCUCCUUGAGGCUGCUGGGCCUGCUUCCCUAAGUGGACCGUACCGCCGGAGCUGGGCUUGUUGGGCUGAAGAGAGGUGACCCAGUCUCCCAUAACAGGACGCCCCCAAGCACCCUGCCUUCACCCUAGCCUCUGUGCGUUCACUGCAAAGAGGGUGGAUUUCAUUCUGUCUCUAAAACGUCCCCUCCAUGAAAACACCACCUGUUCAGAAAACAAUGUUUUCUCUGCCUGGACGUGUUCCCGUGAAAGGGCGGAGUGCACACUCUCUAGGGUGCAUCAGUGGAAUCACAGGAUUAUUUAUUUUCCUCAGCAUUGGGCCAUGUAUUAUAGGAAAACAUGCAUUUAUUACUUCAUAGGAGGAAAAGUGCACACAUUUCAAAGGUGGGAUGCUUGGGGAAGAGUGUCUGAAAGAUGCCGCCUGUGGGGACCUAAGACACAGACGAGAACCAUCCUGUCUCCACCCUGUGACACAUCACCAGGUAGAAUAGUCCACCAGGAAGGACCUCUUCUUGGGAUGGAAGCAGCCUAAAUGUCCAUCGACAGGAGGCGGACCUGGCUUUCCAGCUCCCCAGCCCAAUCCUCUCCUGGUUCAGCUUCAUGGGCAGCUUCCAGAGAAGACUGGGGCCUCUGCACUGGGCGCAGCUGGAGCCCUUCUGGUGAGCCUGUCCAUGGCAUGUCCACUACCUGCGGUUCCCUGGACUCUGCCCACAAGGCUCCCCGAGCCAGACCUCCCUCCUCCCGGCCGGCGGUCAGCUCCUCUGAGCUGCAUCUGCUCCAGCGUUUCUGGCUGCUCCACCCGUCAUGGCCGUGAAUCAUCUCCCUUCCCUCAUUCUUUGAAUUGAGAACUCCGCUGAAAUCCCCCAGGUCUUUCCCUACCAAUGGGUCUUAGUCACCGACCUCACAGAUGUCAUGAACUUUCCCCUCCUCGCCUUCAAUAUCACGGCCAAGCUUAGUAUCCAGCACUGUGCUCUCACAACAUAGGAAUGAUUUCAACUCCACCUCUACUCCUCUUUCCGGACUCAGCGGGCUGUUUGCAAACUAAUGAUAGGUUUGGCUUCCUGUGCCCACCUGGCCACAUCUGCCUGCCAUUAAUUAAAGAGAACGAUUCUUUAUUUGGAUCAUGAGCUGGAAAACCUCAAUGUUGAGAUGCUGUGGCUUUUUCCAAAAUCAGAAAGCAAGUACAAGAAGUUGACCGGAAAAUAUCCCCCUUUUCUUUCAAACUUUGCUUCAUGAUUGAGAGAUCGUGUUGUCACAAGCGUCUGAGUGUAUGUUUAUGUGACUCUCUGUGUGUGAGUACAUGUGUGUCUGUGUGAGACUGUGAGGAUACGUGUGGGAGUGUGUGUGUGUGUGUGUGUGUGUGUGCAUUUUAAUCUGUGUCUAUUGCUUUCUGCUCUUAGCCACAUGGGCAUAGACCCCUGGAACCAACCUGGGAAGUGAUACUGGAUGCUGUGAUCAGGCAAGCUUAACCUUCCUCCCCAGCUCACUUCCCUGCUGCUUGACUCCAGGUGGAGACCGAAAAACCCAAAGGCUCAUGUUCUAGUCCCCGUCAGCAAGAGGCACCCAUGUGAUGAAGGUCUGGAGGGUGAGACCGUGUAAGGUCUCGGCUAUGUUGUGGUCACAUAAACCUGGCAUAUUAGUAGCUUAGCCCAGCAGGGGUCAUUUCUCACUCACACUGCCUCCCCUGGUGAUCUGCUGUGGUCUCUGCUACACAGGGCUCCUCGGGGAUGCAGGCUGAUGGGGCUUUACCAUUUUGCAGCUGCCCCAUCUAGAACAUUCAGCUUCUAAGGCCACCACUGAAAGGAAGAGGAAGAGGGAGGAAUUUCAGGCUUUUGACUGCCAUGGCUACCAAAUGUCACUCUUGCUCGCUGUCGAUGGGACAGAGCUUGCAUUUCAGCCUGAUUGCCAGGACAGUUAAGAAUGUGGGGAACGGAUUUUGCCAUGUCCUGGGUAACCACUAAUCACCACAAAGAUGUGACUAUAAUGCUGGGGUCUGGGGUUACUUCUGGACAAACAUUUCCUUUCCUGAUAAAAGGGCCAAACACAAUUGUUUCUCUCUAAGUCAUUCGUGGGCUUGAUGGCUGGUGCUGCGGCAGCCUUCAUGGGACUGGGACCCAGCAGAAGAACAUGCUGAGGACCAUGGGAUACAAACAGCCUUGGUGCCAUUGGUGAGCAGCUGUGUUGAUCCUGGCUUGCUGACUUCAGAUGCCCUAUUCUCUGAGAAACUCAGCCCUGUUUGUUUAGGCCACUAUUAAGCUGCAUGCUCUGUUACUUGCAUACAAACUCAAAGCAGAUAUGGAGGCUUUGAAGAGAAGGUU